GCGGAUAUGAUGAAAUUUGGUAGACAUGCUAGUUUUAGGUACUAGUUCUAUUAGAAGUAGUGGUUCAAGUCCACUUAUCCGUA
rnacentral:tRNA from 1 species